rnacentral:rRNA from 1 species
GACGAACGCUGGCGGCGUGCUUAACACAUGCAAGUCGAACGGUGAGGCGCCUUCCUUUUUGGUUGGUGUGGUGGCGUGCCGAACAGGUACAUAACACGUUCGUAACCUUCCCCCUUCUUCUGCAUAACCGCAUUAAAGUGUAGCUAAUACGGGAUAUUCUGCUUCUUUCUCAUGUUGGGUCUGUUAAGGAUAUUGUUGCGGUGGGGGAUGGGUUCGCGGCCUAUCAGCUUGUUGUUGGGGUGGUGGCCUAAGAAGGCUUUGACGGGUAGCCGGCCUGAGAGGGUGACAGGCCACACUGGGACUGAGAUACGGGCCAGACUCCUACGGGAGGCAGCAGUGGGGAAUAGUGCAAAAUGGGCGGAAGGCGGAAGCAGCAAAGCCGCGUGCGGGAUGAAGGCCUUCGGGUUGUAAACCGCGUUCGCCUGUGACGAAGCGGGAGUGACGGUAAUGGGUAAAGAAGCACCGGCUAACUACGUG